CAGAAACUGGAGUGAGAAAUGUUGAAAUGCCACAUGAAAGGCCUUGCUUAGAGGGUUUCCAGCUGAGACUGGAGAUUGAAGUGGCGAACAUUCUCACAAGGGAUCCAGGCCUUCAGGAUAUUUCCAAACAAACCUUGUGGCCCCUUGGGGACAAGGGUAAACUUACGGAAAGCUUGAAGUGGAAAAUAAGAGAAAUUAAUUUAGAACAGUUGCUUGAUCUAAAUGAAAUGUCAAGCUUCACCGGAUGGUAUGUAAAUGCACUUUCCACAGCUAAACAUGUUCAAUAACUGUGCUUGUCAUAGUCUCUUU
rnacentral:lncRNA from 1 species